rnacentral:rRNA from 1 species
GUCAGCAGCCAUACUACCUGCAGCUAAGACUAUGCAAUACAUCAAAAGCUAAGCAGGUCUGAGUCUGGCCUGUACUUGGAUGGGAAACUAACUAGGAAAGUUGGGCUGCUGCUGGAA